rnacentral:rRNA from 2 species
UCUUGACGUUAGCAACAGAAGAAGCACCGGCUAACUCCGUGCCAGCAGCCGCGGUAAUACGGAGGGUGCGAGCGUUAAUCGGAAUUACUGGGCGUAAAGCGCAUGCAGGUGGUUCAUUAAGUCAGAUGUGAAAGCCCGGGGCUCAACCUCGGAACUGCAUUUGAAACUGGUGAACUAGAGUACUGUAGAGGGGGGUAGAAUUUCAGGUGUAGCGGUGAAAUGCGUAGAGAUCUGAAGGAAUACCAGUGGCGAAGGCGGCCCCCUGGACAGAUACUGACACUCAGAUGCGAAAGCGUGGGGAGCAAACAGGAUUAGAUACCCUGGUAGUCCACGCCGUAAACGAUGUCUACUUGGAGGUUGUGGCCUUGAGCCGUGGCUUUCGGAGCUAACGCGUUAAGUAGACCGCCUGGGGAGUACGGUCGCAAGAUUAAAACUCAAAUGAAUUGACGGGGGCCCGCACAAGCGGUGGAGCAUGUGGUUUAAUUCGAUGCAACGCGAAGAACCUUACCUACUCUUGACAUCCAGAGAA